UUUACUCCUGGUGCGGAGCCUGACAUUUGCUGCAUAUUAAAUUUCUUUGAUGAUUGAAUAGAAUGUGUACCAUCAACCAAGCUGAAAUUUCUAAAGCAUAGCAUGAUUAAAACCAACUGAUAAAAUUUACCCUGUCUAUUCGCAUGUUCAUAGCCGGCUGACCAAGAGACUUGGACUGCCCAAAAUACCCUUGGUUUCCUACAGAACUCUGCUCCAAUGNNN
rnacentral:lncRNA from 1 species